rnacentral:rRNA from 1 species
CCUACGGGAGGCAGCAGUAGGGAAUAUUGCUCAAUGGGGGAAACCCUGAAGCAGCAACGCCGCGUGGAGGAUGAAGGUUUUCGGAUUGUAAACUCCUUUUGUUAGAGAAGAUAAUGACGGUAUCUAACGAAUAAGCACCGGCUAACUCCGUGCCAGCAGCCGCGGUAAUACGGAGGGUGCAAGCGUUACUCGGAAUCACUGGGCGUAAAGAGCGCGUAGGCGGGAUAGCAAGUCAGAUGUGAAAUCCUAUGGCUUAACCAUAGAACUGCAUUUGAAACUGUUAUUCUAGAGUAUGGGAGAGGUAGGUGGAAUUCUUGGUGUAGGGGUAAAAUCCGUAGAGAUCAAGAGGAAUACUCAUUGCGAAGGCGACCUGCUGGAACAUUACUGACGCUGAUGCACGAAAGCGUGGGGAGCAAACAGGAUUAGAUACCCCUGUAGUC